rnacentral:rRNA from 1 species
AGCAGCCGCGGUAAUUCCAGCUCCAAUAGCGUAUAUUAAAGUUGUUGCAGUUAAAAAGCUCGUAGUUGAACUUCGGGGUUUACCCAUUGGUCAGGCUUAAUUGUCUGUACUGGUGAGAUAAAUCUCUACCUUCUGAGGAACUUUCAUGCCAUUUAUUUGGUGUGGGAGGAAAUCAGGACUGUUACUUUGAAAAAUUAGAGUGUUUAAAGCAGGCUAACGUCUGAAUACAUUAGCAUGGAAUAAUGAAAUAGGACGGACUGAUUCUAUUUCGUUGGUUUCUAGGAUCACCGUAAUGAUUAAUAGGGAUAGUUGGGGGCAUUAGUAUUCAAUUGUCAGAGGUGAAAUUCUUGGAUUUAUUGAAGACUAACUACUGCGAAAGCAUUCGCCAAGGAUGUUUUCAUUAAUCAAGAACGAAAGUUAGGGGAUCGAAGACGAUCAGAUACCGUCGUA